CUGUUGAGAGGGAGUUGUUGUUCCUGAUUUAGUGAGCAACCUCAUGUGGAUCUGUCUCUCCAAUGUCAAGCAGAGCUUUUCCGAGAAUAUUUUGUGGAUUAUUUCAAAUGCAGACAGGAACUCCACCUGUAUCUAAGCCGUGUGGCCCCUGUCCCUCACAGGGUUGGCAGACCCCGAGAAACUUUGCCAGAAGAUGAACGGCUUCUGCGUCGACAAACUUGCCCGUUGCCCCACUCCGCUCAAUGAGAUGCUUCCAUUCAAGUGUCGUGAAGGCCGAAAAUGCUGCAAGCGCCCGUAAAGCUUCAGGCCCCUGGGUUGCAGCAUGUUUUCGUUAGUCAACCUGAUUUCCUGAUGGCUGAUCUUUAUUUGGGGAAGCCAGUGAGGCUCUACCUACUUCAUGCCAAACAAGGCAUGGAUAAAUCCACAGGAUCUCAUCAUUAAAUGCAUGAUUUAAAAUGAA